UUUUAUACGACCGCAAAAAAAAUUUUGUGCUCGUAUAUUGGUAUGACGUUGGCGUCGUCGUUGUCGUCCAAAGACACAUUAGUUUUCGCACUCUAACUUUAGUUUAAGUGAAUGGAUCUCAAUGAAAUUUUACCAUAAGGUUCAAUACCACAAAAGGAAGGUGGGGAUUGAUUUUGGGGGUUAUGGUACCCACAGUUAAGGAAUUAGGGGCCAAAAAUAAGCAUUUUUGUAACUUCCAGACAUAACUUGUGUGUAAGUGUAUGGAUCUCUCUGACAUUGUACCACAAGGUUCCAUAUCACAAAGGGAAUGCUGGGAUUGAUUUUGGGGGUAAUUGCCUCCAAAUUUUAGGAAUUAGGGGCCAAAAAGGGGCAAAAAACAAGCAUUUUUCUAGUUUCAUGACAAUAACUUGUGUGUAAGUGUAUGGAUCUUUAUGAAAUUGUACUACAAGGUUCCAUAUCACAAAGGGAAAGCUGGAAUUGAGUUUGGGGGUAAUUGCCCAAAAAGUUUAGGAAUAAGGGGCCAAAAAGGGGCCAAAAAUAAGCAUUUUUCUAGUUUCCAGACAAUAACUUGUGUUCAAAUGUAUGGAUCUCUCUGAAAUUGUACUGCAAGGUACCAUACCACAAAGGGAAGUCUGGGAUUGAUUUUGGGGGUAAUUCCCUCAAAGUUUUAGUAA